rnacentral:rRNA from 1 species
UGUGCUCCGGUGGACGGCUUUUGGUAAGCAGAACUGGCGCUGUGGGAUGAACCAAACGUAAUGUUAAGGCGCCUAAAGUAACAAGUCAUACUGAUACCAUGAAAGGCGUUACGUGCUUAAAACAGCAGGACGGUGGCCAUGGAAGCUGGAAUCCGCUAAGGAGUGUGUAACAACUCACCUGCCGAAGCAACUAGCCCUUAAAAUGGAUGGCGCUCAAGUUGUAUGCCUAUACAUUACCGCUAAAAUAUAUGAUUUAUAAUUUAUUAAUUAUAAAUUUUGAAAUUUUAGUGUAUAGGAGGGU